rnacentral:lncRNA from 1 species
GACGCAACCAAGCUCAGGAGGAGCUCGUUGAAGAUCUUGCCCUUUGUGUUGUUUCGUUCUAGUUGAUCAGUAGUGGAGCCCAGUUGGGGUCGAUCGGGGACCUUUGUCGCAUUUGGGGUUCUUCUUUUAUUUUGGUUCCGUAGCCGGACCUUGAUUGUAUCUGGAUGAUGUAAUGCUUUAUUCAUGUAAUUGUGUGAAGUGGCGAUUGUAAGCCAACUAUGUAUCUCUUUCCCUUAUGUAUUACAUGGGUUGUGUGAAGAUUACCUCACUUGCGACAUUGCCUUCAAUGCGGUUAUGCCUCUAAGUCGUGCUUCGACACGUGGGAGAUAUAGCCGCAUCGAGGGCGUUACAAGUUGGGUAUCAGAGCCUUCCCCGACCUUAGGAGCCCCACUGCUUGAUCGUUUUUAGCGGCCGAGUUGUGUCUAGAAAAAUAUUUUGAGUCAUUUAGGAUUAUAUAUAUCGGAGAGUUAGGAAUUCUUUUUACUCCCCAGUCUCUUCAUCGCUCUGGUAAGGCAUCCUGACGUAGAGUUUUGACUCUUCUCUUCUCAAAUUUCACUAAAUUUUUUUUUAGGAUCACGCGGGUAUCUUGGAAUCGUUCCGAUGGUUUUAUGAUGAGAACAUUGUCUUGGUGCCUCCUGUCAGGGGUUUUGUGGAAGUGUCCCGGGGAGUUGAGCUCUGAGGUGUUGUCAUCAUAAUUUUAUCGUUGUAGUUCUGGAAUACCUGAGUUUAGUACGCCGACAUCGAAAAUCUCUUUUAUGCAGUUGUUGGUGAGAUAACCCCGAUAACCCAGUACUGAGGUGAGUACGGGAGUAUCGCCAUAACUUGUAUAACGGAUGCUUUUCGAAGGUUGAGGUAGAUGAUUUCCGAAGGUUUCUUGGUUAUGUGUUGAAGGAUGGAUACAGCUGGAUGUAGGAUUUGCUAGUUUGGGUGAGAUAUUAUGCUUCCCCUGUAUCCCCAACACCUGAUUGCAUAACCGGAAAAUUUCGGGAGUUUCAUAGGUGGGAAUUCAAGUAGCUCUUAGGAUAUCUUUUCGACAGAUGUAUGAUAUGAAAUUGGGGUUCGACGUCUAGUGGUCCGCCUAUUCACGGUCGUUUUUACAGUGGUCUCGUUGUGUCUUAAAGAGUCCUUGGCUAUGCCGACUCGGGGACGCUUCGUAUGUCAUGUGCACUGCCUUGUACAUGAUGGUGCUGUACGAUCGAGCCCGUGUAGGCCCCACCACGAAAACUUCGGACGAAAUCUCUAUCAUAUGUUUGUUCUGGCUUAUUUUGCAAGCCAAUCCUUUGUUUUGUUUUGAGUUGUGGUAUUCGAGUUGCUUCGAAGUCAAAUGUUGAUUCCAUACCUUUUCCAAAUGGUGUUCUCAUAUUCCUAUGUGAAUACUAAUCCUUCUUGAUCAUCGAGUCUGUCUUGUCAAUCCUUUUUUUUAACCAGUGUGUCUCUCUUCAAGUGGAUCCGAUCAUUCUCCCCAUCCGCAAGAUCAAUUCUAAGUUUUUCUCAACGGUGUUCAUUCCAACUGCCCCAAGUUGCCUUUGUUUUUCCCGCCCUCCCACCCUUUUUGUUCAAGGACUCAGAUAUCUUAAUCAUGUAUCCUUUUAUUGAUGGGAAGUCUCUCCAUUCUUUUCCGUCAAUAUUCUUAUCCGGUGAUUCUCACGUAUAUUCUAACGGAGCUUCAAGUUCAUCACUCUUCACUCGUUUUCUUCUCCGGUGGAUUUAAUUCAAGCUUUGGUAUUAAGCAUACUCCUUUUCUUUUUUUUCCAAUGUUUUUCUUAUGCCGGUGCGCCUCUUAAUCAUCCAUCUCUCGCUAUUAAAUUGUUCCGGAGUGCUCAAGAUAUCUCGAAUAUUCGUGUUUCCACUCUGCAUUCGUUCAAGCUCUUUCGAGAUUGGUAUCUCAUUCAAGUCAUUUAAUUCAACCGGUGCAACAUCUCUUUUAAAUCUUUUCAACGGUGUUUUUUUGAGUGGGCCCUAACCCACAGGUCUUUUCCCAGGAUCUUACCUGACUCUUCUAUUUUCCCAGAGCUAUCCUAAAUUCUUCUCCAAGUUUGACGUAAGAAUGAGUUAUCAUUAGUCAAAUGCUUUUCUCCAAGAUCUUUCAAAUUCUAUUCAUAGUUGGCUCAACCUCUUCGCUUUUGAUUCUUCCGGUGUGCCUCAAUAAUUCUUGGUGGUGUUUCUCGUUGUCAUUCUCAUCAUUUGAAGACCGAAGAAGAGUUUCUCUUUAAUCUUGCUCUAUUCUCUUCAAGAUUCUUGGUGCUAACUUGAUGCCAUCCUCUCAUAGUUGUUUUCGAUUGUCAGAAUUCUUUUCACUCAUCCGGAGUAAUUCAGAGUAUUUUUUCUGUCAGAUUAUCCGGAGCCCAUCGUCUAAGAUUGACUCAGUCCAGCUUUCAGCUCGCAUACUCUAAAUCAUACUGGUGCUUCGUUCAAGUGAUCUUUAAUCGGCUCGUGAUCUCGUCGUUCUCAUGUAUCUAAAUCCUCUCAAGCAUCUUCGUGUAUUUGCUAAUUCUUCCCGGUGUCUUCCUUAUCUUUUCUUUGUUCAUUUUUAAUUCUUACCGUGGUUCUUUCAAGAUCUCUCUUCCUUGUUCAUCAUAUCAAUUCAUUUGUUGUUCCAAUCCUACCGGUGGUUCGUUCAAGAGUUUUCUUCCUUCGUGUAUCAUAUCUAUGCAUUCGUACUUUCUAAAUUCUACCGGUGGAUCGUUGAAGACUUUCUCAAGUUUACGCCAUAUCUCUCUUAAUCCUUUCUACAAGAAUAAGUAGUAUGCCAAAUCCGUUGCUUGUCAUCAAUUUAAAUUGGUGAAGGAUACGCAUAACAUAAUUCUUAUUCUGGUUUCAUCCAAGUGAUUAAUCCUUUCCUUCAGAGUUUGUCCAGGAGGAAUAAAUUCUUGGCUUCUUGUUGUUCAUCUUUCUUCCGGAGUUCUAAGUUUUCCGCAUUAUCUCGUCGCGAAGCUCCAUCUAAAUCAUCGCAAGGCUUCACCUUGUGUUUUCAACUUCUCUUUCUUUUUUAUCAUCCUUUUAUUACCGGAGUUCUUCAUGGAGGCUCUACAUGAUGGUUCAUCAAGGAUUUAUAUUUCUUCUUGAAGUGUUCAUCGAGAUUCUUUUCUAAGAAACUCAAGCAUUCUUCAUCUUGCUAUCCGGAGUGCAAUUUCUUUCUACCGUAUCUUUGGAGGUGGUAUUAUGUCCUUCUUGAUAAUUCCCCUUCGUUGCUUCGUGAUUCACAAGUUUUCAAGAGUGACUUAUUUAAAUCCAUCUUUUUCUCUUUGUUCAAGAGAUCUUUUCAACCGUCAAUCUCUUCAUUGGAGUUAUCUUGGUAUAGAUUUCACCUAAAGCCUUCCCUAAGGAAUGUUGCUAUUUGGUGCUUAUUAAUGACCCAAGUUAUCUCUUUUCCAUCUUGAUGGAACAAGUUUUCAUCUCUUCGUUAAUCUCAAGCAAGUAAUUGUUCCGUUAGUGGCCGGUUGUCACCUCAUAAUGUUGAGAUGUUUCCAUAAGCCCAUAUCAAGAUUAUUCUUUUCGUUGUUGGUUUUCAACAACUCCAUUCUAGCAUUUGUUGUAUCCGUGAUCUCUCAAGAUCUUGUUUCCCUUCGUUCCGGAGUCAUUGUGAUGUUGCUCUUUUCAACCCAUCAUCUCGUUUGUCAAAGAUCAUGUUCUUUUCGUGCUUAUCCAUUUAACCAGAGUGUCGUGUCCUCUGCUCAAGUUCUUUUCAUCUUAUCUGGUCUUGUAUCACUUUUCAACCGGAGUGCUGCCCGAAUUUGGUCUUCCUUGAUCCCCUUCCUUAACCGGAGUGGUUCCAAUAUAUAUCUUCCCUUCAACCUCAAGGUUUCGCAAUGCUCUUUGUCCCUAGUUUCUAACGGAGUGUUUUCGACUUUGUUCUCCUUCGUUCUAUUCUUUUCUCGAAUUAGUUCAACCUCGCAAGGUUCUUUGGUUUCACUCGUUCGUCAAAGGAGCAACUUAGUUUUACCUAUCCUCUCUUUCUCUUCCGUUGUCCCUCCGGUGCCAUUCUAGAUCUCGGGACGAGAUCCUCUCAUAGUGGUGGAGUGUUGUAACGCCCCGAGACCGAUGUGCCAGGUGUCGUUCAGUUAGUCGCCGUCGUUGCCAUGUCAUUUGCUUGCGUGUUGCAUUUUAUCAUGUCAUCAUGCGCAUUUCAUUUGCAUACAUGUUCGUCUCAUGCAUCCGAGUUUUUUCCCCGUUGUCCGUUUUGCAAUCCGGCGUUCCGUUCUCCUCCGGUGGUCAUUUCUACCUUUCUUUCUUGUGUGGGGAUUAAACAUUUCUGGAUUGGACCGAGACUUGUCAAGCGGCCUUGGUUUACUACCGGUAGACCGCCUGUCAAGUUUCGUACCAUUUGGACUUCGUUUGAUACUCCAACGGUUAACCGAGGGACCGAAAAGGCCUCGUGUGUGUUGCAGCCCAACACCCCCCAAAUUUGGCCCAAAACCCACCUAACUCUGCUCCAUCAUCUCGGUCGUUCGAUCACGAUCGCGUGGUCGAAAACCGCACCUCAUUUGGAGCUUCCUAGCUCCCUCUACCUAUAAAAGAGCACCCCUCCCCGAAAUUUCGGAUCAUUUCGCAGUCUAAACCCUAGAUCCACUCCUCCCCGCGCCACCGGACGCGUCCGCGCUGCACCAGACAUGUCCGCCCCCGCGCGCCACCUCACUCCAGCCAAUGGGGGCGAGCCACGUCAGCUCCGCCGCCCCUCUCCUCCACUCACCGCGCGCCACGUCAACGCCCAGCCUCCCCACUUCGCCGCUGGGCCCGGAGAGCCCGCAACCGGCCCCCGCGGCCCAUCCAUCGCCGCCGCCCGAACCCACGGGGAGACCAGAUCCGCACCGCCCGGUCCUCCCUUGCACCGCCGCACGCCGUCUCGACGCCGGCCGCCCGCCGACGCCGCUCGCCGCCUCGCGCCCUGCCCGGCCCCGGCCACCGUUGAGCUCGCCGGAUGCCGCCCCGUCGCCCUUCGCUUCCCACCGUCGUCCCGGAGCGCAGCGGCCUCCAUCCGACCCCAGGGAGGAGCCCCGGUGCCGCCCGCCCCAAGAUCCAGCGCCGCCGCCUCGGUUCCUGCCGUCCCCGUCGCCGGAGUUCCCGGUGCGCCGUCGCCGCCAUGGAUCGGGAACCAGAGCCCCGAUCUGCUCCCUCCGUUGACCGCGCCCGCGUGGGCCGGCCCAAUCAUCCUCGCCGGCCCAACGCAGCCCCCGCCUUCGGCCCAGCUCCCCGCGGUCCAGCGCGAGCGCCCCAAGGCCCAGCUCCAGCCGGCCUCGCCUUGGCCUGCCUCCUCCUCCAGCCGGGCCGAAGCCCACUGGGUGAGCCGCCACCCGCCCCACCUUGUUUUUUUUCCAUUCCUCUGGUUGGGCUGCCCAGUGCUCCAGUUCCUGUUUCGGCCCGCCUCGUUUUUUUUCCGUCCUGGGAAUUUGUCUAUUAUCCUCAGUUUGUCAGUUUUACAGUUUAGACCCUCAUGUUCAUGCAUUUAAUAACUCACAAACCGUGCGUUGGAUUAAAAUGUUUUAUAUAUGAAACUUGCUCAAAAUUUUGUGUAGAUUAAUAAUAUCCAACUUUCAUCCAUAUUUAAAAUGUUAAAAAUGCUGUUUGCAUUAAUUUGCUCCUAUGCCAUGCUAAAAUGCUUUAUUUCAUAACUAAAUAACCGUAACUCCAAUUUUAAUAAACUUUAUAUGUAAAUGGGGUAGAAUUUUGCCUAGUUUAUCAUGGUGGCCUUACUUUGCAUGUUUAACAACUCUAAAACAUUGUUUAGGGCAGAACAGUACCAAACCUAAUUUAUGCUCAUAAGGAGUUUCCAGAAUUGUUGUUCGUUGCUUCCGGCCUCAUUUAAACUUGCCUAGAUAGGUAGUUUUGUUGUGCUUCACCCUCUUGCCAUGUUAACCAACAUUUAAUAUUGUUGAGUACAUAAACGAGAUCAAACUAAAUAACGUGUCGUGGUGCUUCGUCAAUAUGCAACUCGUUGCAUAUUGAUCUCCACUUAAUUUGUAGAACUGCUUGUGCACUUUGCCAUGCCAUGCUUCAUUAAAACGGACAUGCAUCAUACUCGUUUGUGCAUCGUGCCAUGUUGUUGUGUUGGUUAUUUACUAUGUUGUGUGCUUCUUUUCCGGUGAUUGCUUCUUCGGGUUAGUUCCGAUAACGUCGCGUUUGUGAGGAUCUGUUCAACUACGUCCGUUUGUCUUCUUCAUGGACUCGUUCUUCUUCCUUGCGGGAUUUCAGGCAAGAUGAUCAUACCCUCGAAAUCACUACUAUCUUUGCUAUGCUAGUUUGCUCGCUCUUUUGCCAUGCCAAUGCUACGAUGCCUACCACUUGCUUGUCAGCCACCCAAAUUGCCAUGUUCAACCUCUAACCCACCCUGUCCUAGCAAACCGUUGAUUGGCUAUGUUACCGCUUUGCUCAGCCCCUCUUAUAGUGUUGUUAGUUGCAGGUGAAGAUUGAAGUUUGUUCCUUGUUGGAACAUGGAGUUCGUUCCUUGUUGGAAUAUUGUUUACUUGUUGGGAUAUCACAAUAUAUCUUACUUAAUUAAUGCAUCUAUAUACUUGGUAAAGGGUGGAAGGCUCGGCCUUAUGCCUGGUGUUUUGUUCCACUCUUGCCGCCCUAGUUUCCGUCAUAUUGGUGUUAUGUUCCCGGAUUUUGCGUCCCUUACGCGGUUGGGCUAUAAUGGGAACCCCUUGACAGUUCGCCUUAAGUAAAGCUUCUCCAGCAAUGCCCAACAUUGGUUUUACCAUUUGCCACCUAGCCUUUUCUUUCCCUUGGGUUCUGCAGACUCAAGGGUCAUCAUUAUUUUACCCCCCGGGCCAGUGCUCCUCUGAGUGUUGGUCCACCUGUCAGCUACCGGUGGCUACCAGGGGCAACUCUGGGCUGGCCUACCCGUACCUAAGACAAUCUGAGUGUGCCCUGAGAAAGAGAUAUGUGCAGCUCCUAUCGGGAUUUGUCGGCACAUUCGGGCGGUGUUGCUGGUUUAGUUUUACCCUGUCGAAAUGUCUUGUUGUACCGGGAUACCGAGUCUGAUCGGAAUGUCUCGGGUGGAGGUCUAUUCCUUCGUUGACCGUGAGAGCUUGUCAUGGGCUAAGUUGGGACUCCCCUGCAGGGAUUGAACUUUCGAAAGCCGUGCCCGCGGUUAUGGGCAGAUGGGAAUUUGUUAACGUCCGGUUGUAGAAAACCCGAAGUUGACCUUAGUUAAAAUACAUCAACCGUGCGUGUAACCGUGAUGGUCUCUUUCCGGCGGAGUCCGGGAAGUGAACACGGUGUUGGAGUUAUGCUUGACGUAGGUAGUCCAGGAUCACUUCUUGAUCAUACUUUUAUCGACCGUGCUUUGCCUUCUCUUCUCGCUCUCAUUUGCGUAUGUUAGCCACCAUAUAUGCUAGUCGCUUGCUGCAGCUCCACCUCAUUACUCCAUCCUUCCUAUAAGCUUAAAUAGUCUUGAUCUCGCGGGUGUGAGAUUGCUGAGUCCUCGUGACUCACAGAUACUUCCAAAACCAGUUUGCAGGUGCCGAUGAGUUUGUGCAGUUGACGCAACCAAGCUCAGGAGGAGCUCGUUGAAGAUCUUGCCCUUUGUGUUGUUUCGUUCUAGUUGAUCAGUAGUGGAGCCCAGUUGGGGUCGAUCGGGGACCUUUGUCGCAUUUGGGGUUCUUCUUUUAUUUUGGUUCCGUAGUCGGACCUUGAUUGUAUCUGGAUGAUGUAAUGCUUUAUUCAUGUAAUUGUGUAAAGUGGCGAUUGUAAGCCAACUAUGUAUCUCUUUCCCUUAUGUAUUACAUGGGUUGUGUGAAGAUUACCUCACUUGCGACAUUGCCUUCAAUGCGGUUAUGCCUCUAAGUUGUGCUUCGACACGUGGGAGAUAUAGCCGCAUCGAGGGCGUUACAAAAGACUACAGGAAUGAAUAGAGUUGAGUAAGAGAUAGCAACUCACCCAGUUAGGGGGAUUGUACAUGGAAAAUCCAUCCUGUGGCUUAAUGCGGAUGAACUCCUCUUCUUCUCCUUUGUAUAAAUCAGACAGUAUUUUCGCCAGAGCGGUGGCGGAGUCCAGACCUUUCCGACUGCAGCGGGUGGCAUCAUCUUCUCCGUUGAAGUGCCACAUGGGACGCCCUCGAUACUGGAGUGGCCGCACCCCCCGCAUUAUGCAUAUUGACAUAACCUUGAUUAUUGUCAAUCCGGAUUGGGUAAGCGUUUUUAUCCUGCCCAUCAAUUGAAGGACCUCUCUGCUAUCUUCCUCCUUGGGGCUCCGAGGAUGCCAGCUAUGGUGUUUCUUCAACGGGUCAUUUGUGAACUCAGGAAGACUCAUUCGGAUAGGGUCAGGAAGGGAGACGUCCUCUAUAUAAAACCACUCGGAAGGCCAAUCUUCGGAUGUCUUCUUCGGAGUGCCGGACAGGUAUUCGGUCUCGGCGAUGCGCCAUAUUUCGGCUCCGCCCACUUGGAAUAUUGAUCCCUCUUGAUUGCGAGGGACGAGGCAGAACAACCUCUUCCAUAGCUCGAAAUGAGCUUCGCAACCCAGAAAUAACCCGCAAAGGGCGACAUAACCUGCGAUGUGCAGGAUGGAGGCAGGGGUGAAAUUGUGCAGCUGGAGGCCAUAGUACUCCAGGAGCCCGCGAAGGAACGGAUGGAUUGGAAAUCCGAUGCCCCUCAGCAAGUAAGGGACAAGGCACACUCGCUCCCCCCUGGAUGGGUUGGGAAAACUCUCUGCUUGCUCCCCGCCAUCAAAAGUGGCUAAUCCGGCUCGAACGGGGACAAGAUAUGCAGGUGGAAGAAACCCCUGGGUAUGCAACUUCACCAAUUGGCCAUGGGAUAUGGUACACUUCUCCCAAUCACCUGGCUUGGCGCUAUAAGGACGAGAUGAAGAGCUUUGACGACCGGCCAUGAUGGGAUGGUUUUUUCGGGCGCACUCUAAUGAAUCCUCGCUUGGGGAAGAUGGUGUGAUUUGGAUCUGAGGAUCCCCGUCUCUUUAAUAGACGAUUUAUUUACAUGGUUAGGGUGGCAAGUGUAAAAAUGCUCCGGCUCCUCGCAUUCACUCGACACAUGGAGGCUGACACUAUUAAGGUACAGAAGACGAUGAUUGCAACAUUAAAUGGGAAGUUGGACACUGCUCGUUACAACAGGUACUCUAGAGAAUUCGGAGAAGGAACCCGCCUUGCAAUGCCGAAGACAAUCUGCGCGCCGGACUCAUCGUCAUUGAAGCCUGGUUCGGGGGCUACUGAGGGAGUCCUGGAUUAGAGGGUCCUCGGACAGCCGGACUAGAUGCUUAUGCCGGACUGUUGGACUAUGAAGAUACAAGAUUGAAGACUUCAUCCCGUGUUCGGGUGGGACUCUCCUUUGCGUGGAAGGCAAUCUUGGUGAUUCGCAUAUGUAGAUUCCCUUCUAUGUAACUGACUCUGUGUAACCCUAGCCCCCUCCGAUGUCUAUAUAAAUCGGAGGGUUUAGUCCGUAGGAUGACAACAAUCAUAAUCAUAGGCUAGCUUCUAGGGUUUAGCCUCUACGAUCUCGUGGUAGAUCAACUCUUGUAAUACUCAUAUCAUCAAGAUCAAUCAAGCAGGAGGUAGGGUAUUACCUCCAUAGAGAGGGCCCGAACCUGGGUAAACAUCGUGUCCCCCGCCUCCUGUUACCAUUAGUCUUAGACGUACAGUUCGGGACCCCCUACCUGAGAUCCAUCGGUUUUGACACCGACACUUACCCAGUCUGCCAGACUAUAGCCGGAGCAACCCUUCGGGAUACUUAAUUGAGCAAAGUCUUCCCCCUCGCCUUUAAAUAGGUCAACUAGUAUUUUGGCCAUAGCUGCCUGGUUGUCCGGCCCUAGUCGCUUGUAGUGGGUUGCAUCGCUGGUCCUGUUGUAGCACCACAGAGGAUCUACCCACCGGGCUAUGGCGACGGCCAUCACUUCGAUCAUGGUCAGUUUACCAUGGGCCAACAGCCAAAUUUUGGUGGCCGAAAGGUGCACCUCCAUGAUGUCUAAUUGGGAAGGGCUCUUGGGUCGCUAGUUGAAUCGCUUCUUUAAUGGGGCACUAGAGUAUUUGGGCAGCCCCCUCCGGACUGGGUCAAAGAGGGGAACGUCUUCAAUAUAAAACCACUCUGAGAUCCAUUCCUCGGAAUCUUUUCAUGGGGUCCCGAUGGGAUACCCUGUCCCGGCUAUGCGCCAUACCUCUUCUCCACCUAGUUAAAAUAUUGACCCUUCACUAGUUCGAGGGACAAGGCAGAAGUAUUUUCUCCACAAAUCAAAGUGGGCUUCGCAGCUCAGGAAUAUCUCGCAGAGGGCCACAAACCUAGAAAUAUGCAGUAUGGACCCCGGGGUGAGGUUGUAAAGAUGGAUCCCAUAAAAUUCUAAUAAACCCCAUAAGAAGGGUGAAUGGGAAAGCCUAGGCCUCGUAGCAGGAAAGGCAUGAAACAUACUCUCUCUUCCUUGCUUGGAGCAGGGAAGUUCUCGGCGAAUGCUGGGCCAUCCAUGAAGAUCAAUCCAGCACAGAUGGAGACAAGAUCCGUUGCAGGGAGAUAUCCUUGCGUCUGUAGAUUACACAGUUGAAGGCGUGAGACGAAGCAGCUCACCUAGUCUCUUGGAACGGGACUGUGAGGUCGUGAAGAAGAUCCUGGGGCAUCGGCCAUGGUGCCUAAAAUUUCUCAAGCAUUGGCUUCUAGGGAAGGACGGGUCAGUCGUCCCCCGCAUUUUUGGAUCUAUAAAUAGGCGUUUCGUCCUAAAGUUGAAAGGACGGCUCUACAAAAUGGGGACAUUGGGCCGUUCGCCUUCUAAAAAGGUGCACAAUGGUCAAAGUUUGCCCUCGCCCGAGGAAAGCAUUAACUCCGAUGGCCCUGAUACGUCCAUUUUGCAUCAUGCUUUUAUAUCAAUAUUUAUUGCAUUAUGGGCUGUUAUUACACGUUACACAAUACUUAUGCCUAUUCUCUCUUAUUUUACAAGGUUUACAUGAAGAGGGAGAAUGCCGGCAGCUGGGAUUCUGGGCUGGAAAAGGAGCAAAUAUUAGAGACCUAUUCUGCACAACUCCAAAAGUCCUGAAACUCCAUGAAAGUUAUUUUUGGAAUUAAUAAAAAAUAUUUGGCGAAGAAAGUACCACAGGGGGCCCACACCCUGGCCAUGAGGGUGGGGGGCGCGCCCCCUGCCUCGUGGGCCCCCUGGCAGGCCUCCGGUGACCAUCUUCUGCUAUAUGAAGUCUUUUACCCUGGAAAAAAACCAUAAGCAAGUUUUCAGGAUGAAACACCACCGCCACAAGGCGGAACCUUGGCGGAACCAAUCUAGGGCUCCAGCGGAGCUGUUCUGCCGGGGAAACUUCCCUCUGGGAGGGGGAAAUCAUCACCAUCGUCAUCACCAUCGAUCCUCUCAUCGAGAGGGAGUCAAUCUCCAUCAACAUAUUCACCAGCACCAUCUCCUCUCAAACCCUAGUUCAUCUUUUGUAUCCAAUCUUUGUCCCAAAACCUCAGAUUGGUACCUGUGGGUCACUAGUAGUGUUGAUUACUCCUUGUAGUUGAUGCUAGUUGGUUUAUUCGGUGGAAGAUCAUAUGUUCAGAUCCUUAAUGCAUAUUAAUACCCCUCUGAUUAUGAACAUGAAUAUGAUUUGUGAGUAGCUACGUUUGUUCCUGAAGACAUGGGAGAAGUCUUGCUAUAAGUAGUCAUGUGAAUUUGGUAUUCGUUUGAUAUUUUAAUGAGAUGUAUGUUGUCUCUCCUCUAGUGUUGUUAUGUGAACGUCGACUACAUGAAACUUCACUAUUAUUUGGGCCUAGAGGAAGGCAUUGGGAAGUAAUAAGUAGAUGAUGGGUUGCUAGAGUGACAGAAGCUUAAACCCUAGUUUAUGCGUUGCUUUGUAAGGGGCUGAUUUGGAUCCACAUGUUUCAUGCUAUGGUUAGGUUUACCUUAAUACUUCUUUUGUAGUUGCGGAUGCUUGCAAUAGGGGUUAAUCAUAAGUGGGAUGCUUGUCCAAGAAAGGGCAGUACCCAAGCACCGGUCCACCCACAUAUCAAAUUAUCAAAGUAACGAACGCGAAUCAUAUGAGCGUGAUGAGAACUAGCUUGACGAUAAUUCCCAUGUGUCCCCGGGAGCGCUUUUCUCCAUAUAAGAAUUUGUCCAGGCUUGUCCUUUGAUACAAAAAGGAUUGGGCCACCUUGCUGCACUUGAUUUACUUUUGUUACUUGUUACGUGUUACGAAUUACCUUAUCACAAAACUAUCUGUUACCGAUAAUUUUAGUGCCUGCAGAGAAUACCUUACUGAAAACCGUUUGUAAUUUCCUUCUGCUCCUCGUUGGGUUUGACACUCUUACUUAUCGAAAGGACUAUGAUAGACGCCCUACACUUGUGGGUCAUCUAGACUCUUUUCUGGCACCGUUGCUGGGGAGUGAAGCGCCUUUGGUAAGUGGAACUUGGUAAAGAAAAAUUUAUAUAGUGUGCUGAAAUUUACUGUCACUUGUUACUAUGGAACAUAAUCCUUUGAGGGGCUUGUUCGGGGCAUCUUCACCCCGACCAGUAGAGCAAAGAGUUGCUCCUCAACCUACUGAACCUACCGAAAAUGUUUACUUUGAAAUUCCUUCGGGUAUGAUAUAGAAACUGCUAGCUAAUCCCUUUACAGGAGAUGGAACAUUGCAUCUCGAUUUACACCUAAUAUAUGUGGAUGAAGUUUGUGGAUUAUUUAAGCUUGCAGGUAUGCCCAGCGAUGUUAUCAAGAAGAAGGUCUUCCCUUUAUCUUUGAAGGGAGAGGCAUUGACAUGGUUUAGGCUAUGUGAUGAUAUGGGAUCAUGGAACUACAACCGAUUGAAAUUGGAAUUUCAUCAGAACUUUUAUCCUAUGCAUCUUGUUCAUCGUGAUCGUAAUUAUAUAUAUAAUUUUUGGCCUCGCGAAGGAGAAAGCAUCGCUCAAGCUUGGGGGAGGCUUAAGUAGAUGUUAUAUUCAUGCCCCAAUCAUGAGCUCUCAAGAGAAAUGAUUAUUCAAAAUUUUUAUGCUCGUCUUUCUCUCAACAAUCGCUCCAUGCUCGAUACUUCUUGUACUGGUUCUUUUAUGAUGAAGACUAUUGAAUUCAGAUGGGAUUUAUUGGAAAGAAUUAAAUGCAAGUCUGAAGAUUGGGAUCUUGACGAAGGUAAGGAGUCAGGUAUGACACCUAAGUUUGAUUGUGUUAAAACUUUUAUGGAUACUGAUGCUUUUCGUGAAUUUAGCACUAAAUAUGGACUUGACUCUGAGAUAGUAGCUUCUUUCUGUGAAUCAUUUGCUACUCAUGUUGACCUCCCUAAGGAGAAGUGGUUUAAAUAUAAUCCUCCCACUGAAGUAAAAAUAGUUGCACCUAUUAAAGUUGAAGAAAAGACUAUCACUUAUAAUGAUCCUAUUGUUCCUACUACCUAUAUUGAGAAACCCCCUUUCCCUGUUAGGAUAAAGGAUCAUGCUAAAGCUUCAACUAUGGUUCGUAAGAGUAAUACUAAAACACCUACACCACCUGAGCAAAUUAAAGUUGAACCUAGUAUUUCUAUGGUUAAAGAUCUCUUGGCUGAUAAUAUUGAUGGGCAUGUUAUUUACUUCUGUGAUGAAGCUGCUAGAAUUGCUAGACCUGAUACUAAGAAUAAACAUAGGCUUGUUGUGGGCAUGCCUGUUAUUUCUGUUAAAAUAGGAGAUCAUUGUUAUCAUGGCUUGUGUGAUACGGGUGCUAGUGCUAGUGCAAUACCGCAUUCCUUAUACAAAGAAAUUAUGCAUGAUAUUGCACCUGCUGAAAUAGAAGAGAUUGAUGUUACAAUUAAGCUUGCUAAUAGAGAUACUAUUUCACCAGUUGGGAUUGUUAGAGAUGUUGAAGUAUUGUGUGGGAAAGUGUAGGACCUUGAAGUAUGUCUAGAGGGGGGGUGAUUAGACUACUUAACCAAUUAAAAACUUAACCUUUUCCCAAUUUUAGAGUUUGGCAGAUUUUAGCUAUCUUAGGACAAGUCAAGCAAUCAUCACGCAAUUCAAGCAAGCAUGCAAAGAGUAUAUAGGCAGCGGAAAUUAAAGCAUGCAACUUGCAAGAAAGUAAAGGGAAGGGUUUGGAGGAUUCAAACGCAAUUGGAGACACAGAUGGUUUUGGCGUGGUUUCGAUAGGUGGUGCUAUCGUACAUCCACGUUGAUGGAGACUUCAACCCACGAAGGGUAACGGUUGCGUGAGUCCACGGAGGGCUCCACCCACGAAGGGUCCACGAAGAAGCAACCUUGUCUAUCCCACCAUGGCUGUCACCCACGAAGGACUUGCCUCACUAGCGGUAGAUCUUCACGAAGUAGGCGAUCUCCUUGCCCUUACAAACUCCUUGGUUCAACUCAACAAUCUUGUCGGAGGCUCCCAAGUGACACCUAGCCAAUCUAGGAGACACCACUCUCCAAGAAGUAACAAAUGGUGCGUUGAUGAUGAACUCCUUGCUCUUGUGCUUCAAAUGAUAGUCUCCCCAACACUCAACUCUCUCAUAGGUUUUGGAUUUGGUGGAAAGAAGAUUUGAGUGGAAAGCAACUUGGGGAAGGCUAGAGAUCAAGAUUCAUAUGGUAGGAAUGGAAUAUCUUGGCCUCAACACAUGAGUAGGUGGUUCUCUCUCAGAAAUGGUAAGUUGGAAGUGUAGGUUUAGUCUGAUGGCUCUCUCCACGAAUGAAGAGGAGGUGGAGGGGUAUAUAUAGCCUCCACACAAAAUCUAACCGUUACACACAAUUUACCAAACUCGGUGGGACCGAUUCAACAGACUUGGUCAGACCGAUUUAGCAAACCUAGUGACCGUUAGGAUUUUCGGUGGGACCGACAUGCAACUCGGUGAGACCGAUUUUGGUAAUAAGCUUUCCAGAGAGUUGGUCAGGUAAACUUGGUGGGACCGAUUUGCUCUUUUCGGUGAGACCGAAAUGUUACAAAAGGGAAACAGAGAGUUUACAUUGCAAUCUCGGUGGGACCGAUCGCUCACUUCGGUUAGACCGAAAUGUUACGAAGGGAAACAGAGAGAUUACAAUCCCAUCUCGGUGAGACCGAGAUCCCUAUCGGUAAAACCGAUUUGCCUAGGGUUUAUGGCAGUGGCUAUGACAUUUGAAAUCGGUGGCGCCGGAUAGAAAGAAUCGGUGUGACCAAUUUUGGAUUUAGGUUUAGGUCAUUUGUGGAUGUGAGAAAGUAGCUGAGGGUUUUGGAGCAUAUCACUAAGCACAUGAAGCAAGAGGCUCAUUAAGCAACACCUCAUCCCUCCUUGAUAGUAUUGGCUUUUCCUAUAGACUAAAUGUGAUCUUGGAUCACUAAAAUAUAGAAUGAAGAGUCUUGAGCCUUUGAGCUUGAGCCAAUCCUUUGUCCUUAGUAUUUUGAGGGAUCCACUUUCAUCAUCCAUGCCAUGCCAUUCAUUGAGCUUUCCUGAAAUAAUAGUCUUGGAAUAGCAUUAGCUCAAUGAGCUAUAUGUUGUUAUGAAUCACCAAAACCACCUAGGGAUAGUUGCACUUUCAAUCUCCCCCUUUUUGGUAAUUGAUGACAACAUAUAGAUCAAAGCUUCGACAAAUGAUAAUAAGAUUUAAAACAUCGUCGCUUUGAGAAGUAUGUGAUAAGCAAGAGCUCCCCCUAAAUUUGUGCAUAGUUUAAGAUUUGCUUUGGACUGCAAAUGUACAAGGAAUUAGGCUCAUGGGUUACUCUUCCAUGUCACAUACAUCUUGGUGGAGCGCUCAAAAUGAUAAAGAUUGAAUACAUGCACUCAUCACCAAGCAAAGUGAAUGAUCACAUAGGAUAGAUAAGAUAAUAUCAUCAAACAUGCAUAAGUGUAGCUUAUGAUCAAACACAUGAUCAUCAAUGUCUCACAAAAACAGCAUAGUAUCUCAAGCAAUCAAAAGGAAACAAAGUUUAACCACCAAAUCAAAGCAAGAGAGAAAAAAGAACAUCACUCUCUCUCUCUCGAAGCCUAUGAUCUAUACAUUUUUCUCCCCCUUUGGCAACAAGUUACCAAAAAGUUCAUAGAAAAUGCAUAGUGCUAGAUCGACUCUCAGGCUUGAUCUUCAGGUGGUGGUGUCCGGAUAACUCCAAGAACGAAGGCUUCAGUUGAAGUAGAUGGAGCUGGAGUUGAUGCUGGAGCUGGUUGCACUAGAGCUGUAGGAGCUGUAGCUGGUGCAGAUGAUGUGGCUCUAGUGUCUGGCACAGGCACUGUAGCUGACCUCUGAGCUCUAGGCACUCUGGAAAAAACAUUAGUGGUAGUCUUGCCCUGCCUUUCCUGCAUGUCAUCCUGUAGCUGCUCCACAACAGACUGAAUCUCAGUUACUUUGACAUCUAGAUCAUGGAAUUUGAGUUCCAUGAUUCUUUCCAAGCUCUCCUGAUUUUGAGUGAGGGUGGCCAAUCCCUUCUCAAUCCUCAGUGUUGAUGCUAUUAAGUAACCAAGCUGCUCCUGCUUGUUCUUCAAGAAAUACUCAGAUGCCUCCUCUUGAGUUGGCAUCCUGGUAGCCUUCUCCUUCCUUGCCUUCUCCUUCUUCUCUUGAGCUUGAACUGAUGAUGGAUCAUUCUCAUUCAUGACAACCUGAUUGUCCUCAAAGUCUGGAUAGAGGGGAAAAUGUCCCUUAUCCAAUUGAUAUUUGCCUGUGCCCAUCUUUGAGUUAAUCAACUCCUGAAUCUGAGGGCAUAUGCACAGCUCCUCUUCUGAUCUGCUGCAGUCCUCUUAAUGGUUUCAAUCAUAAGGCUCAUGACCUUAAAUUUCUGUGGCACAUCAAACAAAUGCAACAUGUUGAUUGCAUGCCCUCUAAUCAUGUUGUGGUCACCAGACUUAGGCAACAGAGUGUGCCUUAGAGCAUCUCCAACAGCUGCGCUAAGCGCCGCGCGCAAAAAUCCUAUUUGCCGCAUGCGCUUCGGCUGGUUUAGCGUGGCCGUCAGCGCUAGCUCCAGCAGCCGCGCUAUAAUGCAGCGCGCGCGCCGCUCCAGCAGAGCGCAAAAAUACAGCACGCGCGCCGCACAAACCACAUAUACAUUUAAAAGAAGAAGAGCAAAAAUGAUCAAACAAACAAAAUAAAUCAACAAUAAAUAGUUCAAUUUCGUUAUCAUUACAACUCAAACAAAUAGUUUAUCGUUCAGUACAACAAAUAAUGCAAUAAACACAACAAAUAGUUCAUGAACAAUACAAUGUCGAAUGCAGAAAUCAUGAUGCUCUUUGUCGUCCAUACCAUGCCCACCACUCUUCAAUCAGAUCAUUCUGAAGUUCAUUGUGCGUUGUGGGACGCCGAAUGGCAUGAUAGGAGGCAAUAAAACGGGCUACCCUUUCAGCCCUCCGUCGCACUCGCACGGGAUGUCCCAAGAGUUCAUACUGUGAGUAGUCUAAAUCUUGGCCACGCUCAUUCUCGACGAUCAUGUUGUGCAUGAUCACACAAGCGUGCAUGAUGUACCAAAGCAUUUUUUAUCCCAAAAUCUAGCCGGUCCUCUCACAAUAGCAAAUUGGGCUUGCAAAAUCCCAAAUGCUCUCUCCACAUCUUUUCUAGCCGCCGCCUGAGCAUUGUGGAAAUCAAGAUAUUUCUUACCUUCCGGCUUUUUCAACGGCUUCACGAAGGUUUGCCACUUUGGAUAGAUGCCAUCCGCUAGAUAAUAGCCAUAAUUGUACGUACGGCCAUUUUCUACAAACUACACAGGUGGCAACUCACCGUUUGCAAUCUUAUUCAUCAGUGGUGACCGGUUGACAACAUUUAUGUCAUUCAAAGAUCCAGGCAUUCCAAAGAAUGCAUGCCAAAUCCAAGUCUCCUGAUCGGCCACCGCUUCAAGGAUUAUAGUGGAACCCUUUUUUUGGCCAUGGAAUUGCCCAUGCCAUGCCUUUGGACAAUUCUUCCAACUCCAAUGCAUGCAAUCUAUUGAGCCAAGCAUGCCAGGAAAGCCGCGCUCUUUGUUCAUUGACAAUAGCCUUGUGGCGUCUUCAGCAGUGGGAGAUCUCAAAUACUCCUCGCCAAACACUUGCACAAUUCCCACUGCAAAGCGCUUGACACACAUGAUGGCUUGGCUCUCACACAUAGCCAAGUGAUCAUCAACUAGAUCAGCCGAGAUACCGUAUGCCAACAUACGCAAAGCGGCUGUCACCUUCAGAAAGGUGCUAUGCCCGAGCUCUCCGGCGGUAUUCCUCCUUUGCUGGAAAAACCGAUCAUAGCUCGCUAGUUUCUCUGCAAUGCGCCUGAACAAGUCGGUGCUCAUCCUAAACCGGCGACGAAAAUACGACUCCGGGUACGUGGGAUUCUCCAUGAAAUAGUUCUUCAUCAAUCUGUUAUGGGCAUCAAUCCUAUCUCUCCAAAUUUUCUCUCGACCCAUAACCGAACCACCGUGCUUCGGUUUUUUAUUGAUAUGCAUAGCUAGGAUCAUUGCAAGAUCCUCUUCCUCUUCCAUAUCAAAUUCUUCUUCGGAAGAAUCAAACGACGAACUCAUCUACAAUGUUCAAUACUAUACUAUAAAAACUACAAUUCAAAACAUGCACCAAAUUCAUGAAGUUUGAGCAAUACACACCUUGUAGGCGUUUUGUCGAACACCUUGCGGGCGCGGCGCGGCAGCGAGCGCUCGGGCACUGUUCCUCGGACGACGGAGGCGCGCGAGCGCUGGCGGGACUAGGAGGGGAUGGGGCGGAAGCGCGGCGGCGCGGGGAUAGGCCGGGGAAGCACCUGAACGGUCGCCGGGGUGCGCGGGCAGCGGCGGCGGCGCGGCCGGAUGGGGGUGGAAGUGGGAGAGGAAGUGCGAGAGCGAGCGCUCGAGUGUGCCGUGCGCUGUAGCGGGCGCCCGAAAUACAUCGCGGGGGGCAGUGUUUCCGACAGCGCGCCCAACUCGUUAUAGCGCGCACGUGGUUUUUGCGCGCCCGCUGGAGUGACCCGCCGCGUUGCGCGCGUGCUAAAACCGACUAAUUUACAGCGCGAUGCUAGUAUUGCGCGACUGUUGGAGAUGCUCCUAGGAUGCAGUUAAUAGUUGGCAGCCCUGACAGAAGGAAACGGACUGACCCAAACUUAUGUGUCUCAAUGGCUUUGUCUGGGAUCUCCUUGUACAUGUGUGCCAUGGAAUUGUGGUCCAUCUUCUUCUUGGCAUAGACAUCCAAGUCAUCUUCACUCUCCUUUGGGGCAUUUAUAAGUUUUGCCCACUCCUCAACAGUUGACUGGUACCUUGUACCUUCAGACAUCCACACUAUCCUCCCAUCUGGAUAGAAGUGUGCUGUGGAGUAGAAUUGCAUAAUGAGUUCAUCAUUCCAGUUGGUGAGCUUUUACCCAACAUAAUCUGCAACUCCACAAGCAACAAAACUGUCUUGCACUCCAGGAUAGUGCUCUUCAUUUUCCUUAAUAUAGGUCCAGUCGACCCACCUCAUAUCACACACUAUGGGCUUCUUAUCCAACAAAAUUGUAUCAUAGAAGUCCUGCUGUUCCUUUGUAUGGAACUUGUAAUCAACAGCAGUCCUUCUCCUUGAGGCAUAUGGAUCUGUCAGCCUCCAUAGCCUCAACCCUGAGUCUCUUCUGAUGUUCAUGUCCUCAGCCACAGGAUGGGCAUCAUUGUGGUCUGGUAUCUUGGGCUUGAGCUUCCUCAGAACUUGUCCUUGUUCAUCUUCCUCCUCAGCAACCUCAGGCACUGGGGCCUUGUUCUUCUCAGCAGCUGGAAUACUCCUGGUAUUCCUCUUUGGUGCAAGCUUGGCCUUGGGGGCAGCUUUGGGUGCUUCCUUGGGCUUAGAUGUUGCAGCCCCUGAUCUAAUAGCAUCACCCAUAAGCUUUGGUGCCUUGGGUGCUGGUGCAGCAACCUCUUCUUCCUCUUCAGAAUCUCUCCUCAUUGAGGGCUUUCCAAGAACCUGGGCAGUUGUGGUUCUUGAUCUCUUCUUCUUCUUAUCCUGAGCAGCUUCAUCCUCUGAUUCAACGGUAAACUUCAUAGUUUCUCCAGUAGGAACUUUCUUCGAUUUGGAAGUUGUGACUUUCUUUGCAGGUGCCUCUUUGGGUUCAGAUGUUGCAGGCACUUGAGUAGAUCCUCUGACCUUUAGCAUAGGUGUCCUCUUGGCAGGAACCUUCCUAUUGAGUCCAGGCUUUGUGUUCUUUGCUGAGGCAUACUCCUUUUUGAGAACUACCUUCUUGGAAGUAGCCUCAUUUUCUUCUGCUCUAUAGUCCUCAUCCUCUGAGUCUGAGGUUCUCUUCAUCCUUUGCCUGGUAGCAGCCUUAGGCAGAUUGCUAGGAGUGCUCCUGCUGCCUUCAUCUGAAGUGCUGGAGGGACUAGUGCCCUCACUCAUGUGCAUUUGCUCUUCUGACCUGUUCUGACUGUCACUUUGGUCUGACAUGCUGCAAACACUGACUGCUGACCCUGAGAAGAGUUAUAGAUGAGGUAGAGUGCAUAAGCAUCACAAAAUGCAGAGAGUUUUGCAAAAGAAUGACUCAAAAAUUCAGUUUUAGUUUUCCACAGAAAGCAUUUCGGAUCAAUAGAUUUUCAAACUCGGUGAUACCGAAGCAGUUUUGGAACCUAAACUGAUGAACUCGGUUGGACCGAGUUAUAGUUCGGUGGCACCGAGACUGCUAGGGUUUCACAAAGUUCUGAAAUUGGUCUCACCGAUAAGCAAUUCUCGGUCAGACCGAGAGUUACUAGUGCAAUGGCAUAAGCCAAAUUGGUGGGACCGAGUUUUUCAACUCGGUGGGUCUGAGAUGAUUUCGGCGGAAACCUAACCCUAAAUUUUCAAAUCUCAUCUAAUCUACGGAUUGCAUUGACUGGAUAGGAGUGUUUCAAUCGUGGCAAGAAUCAAUAAGAACACAAUGUGCUAGGAAUCGGACGAGGAUAGCACUGUGAUCGAGUCCAUACCCUAGCUUGGCGAUGAACUCGCUACGACGGCAAUGGUGGGGUUGAAAUCCGUUGACGGCGGCGGAGACCAGCGACAGGAGGCGGCUGGAAAUGAGGAGACGAUCCGGAGACCCCGGAGACAGAGCGAGCUAUUGCACGGGCGAAGAGGUUCAGAGAAAUUUCCAAAUUUUUGCCCGUGGCUAUAUAUAGCCCAUCCCUGUCGGUGUGACCGAGUGGAACAACUCGGUGGCACCAAGAUGCAUAGCUGUGUACAGUUAUUGCAACUCGGUGUGACCGAAAAGUUCAAAUUGGUUGCACCGAGAUUGAAAACUCAAAACGACUUAAUGAUCUCGGUAGGACCGAAAUGAGGAAUCGGUCAGACCGAGAAUCACAAAGAAGUUUUGGAAGUUUAAGUCUAUGACGAAUCGGGGACUCCGAGUGCUCCUCACAUAGAGUGGUUCAAAUCUGACUUGAUCAAAUUUUGUGAUGUAGCAUGAAUAGAGUUUGAGACGAGAAAAUCAUAGAUAGCUAGAGAAGGUUCUUAGGCAUUCUUGUCCAUCCACUUGGCAAAAAGAAAAGAAACUCAAACAAUCAAAGCAACAAGUGGAUGUCUGAGGGAGUCCUGGACUAGGGGGUGUCCAGAUAGCUGAACUAUCAUCAUCGGCCGGACUCCAAGACUAUGAAGAUACAAGAUUGAAGACUUCGUCCCGUGUCCGGAUAGGACUUUCCUUGGCAUGGAAGGCAAGCUUGGCGAUGCGGAUAUGUAGAUCUCCUACCAUUGUAACCGACUCUGUGUAACCCUAGCCCUCUCCGGUGUCUAUAUAAACCGGAUGGCUUUAGUCCGUAGGACGAACAACAAUCAUACCAUAGGCUAGCUUCUAGGGUUUAGCCUCCUUGAUCUCGUGGUAGAUCUACUCUUGUAAUACCCACAUCAUCAAUAUCAAUCAAGCAGGACGUAGGGUUUUACCUCCAUUAAGAGGGCCCGAACCUGGGUAAAACAUCGUGUCCCUUGUCUCCUGUUACCAUCCGCCUAGACGCACAGUUUGGGACCCCCUACCCGAGAUCCUCCGGUUUUGACACCGACAUUGGUGCUUUCGUUGAGAGUUCCUCUGUGUCGUCACUGAUAGGCUCGAUGGCUUCUUCGAUCAUCAACAACGACACGGUCCAGGGUGAGACCUUCCUCCCCAGACAGAUCUUCGUAUUCGGCAACUUUGCACUGCGGGCCAAUUCGCUUGGCCACCUGGAGCAGAUCGAAAGCUACGCCCCUGGCCGUCAGGUCAAAUUUGGAAGUUUGAACUUCACGGCUGACAUCCGCGGGGACUUGAUCUUCGAUGGAUUCGAGCCACAGCCGAGCGCGCCACACUGUCACGACGGGCAUGACUUAGCUCUGCAGCUGGACAGUAACCUGGAGGCCGCACACGAGUCCGCUCCGAUCUUCAAUUCGGAGCCGGCUGCGCAGAUCGAGGAUGGGUGGCUAGACACCGCCUCGGGGGCUGCAACCUCUACGGCGAUAGAGCCGAACACUGACCUUGUCCCUCAUGAAGCUCGUGACUCCGAGGUGCUAGACUCCUCGCCGAACUCCGAACCUCCCGCGCCCCCUCCAAUCGAAUCCGAUUGGGCGCCGGUCAUGGAGUUCACCGCUGCGGACAUCUUUCAACACUCACCUUUCGGCGACAUAUUGAGUUCGCUAAAGUAUCUCUCGUUAUCAGGAGAGCCCUGGCCGGACUGCGGUCAGGACGGUUGGGAUGCGGACGAUGAAGAAAUUCAAAACCCACCCACCACCCACUUAGUAGCCACUGUUGACGAUCUAACCGACAUGCUAGACUUCGACUCUGAAGACAUCGACGGUAUGGACGAUGAUGCCGGAGACGACCAAGAACCAGCGCCUACUGGGCACUGGAAAGCCACCUCAUCAUAUGACAUAUACAUGGUGGAUAUCCCAAAGGAUGGGAAUGGCGAAGGAAUAGCGGAGGAUGACCCCUCCAAGAAAUAGCCCAAGCGCCGGCGUCAGCGGCGCCGCUCUAAAUCCCGCCACAGCAAGAAUGGAGAUUCCGGCACCGGAGAUAAUAACACCCCAGACAGUGCCGAAGACAACCCCCUCCAGCAAGAUUCAGCGCAGGAGGACGGAGACGCCAACCCCCAUGAAAAAGCAGCAGACAAAGAAGUAGAGGAUUACAUGCCUCCCUCCGGAGACGAGGCAAGCCUCGACAACGACGAAUUUGUCGUGCCUGAGGAUCCCGUCGAACAAGAGCGUUUUAAACGCAGGCUUAUGGCCAUGGCAAACAGCCUCAAGAAAAAGCAGCAGCAGCUUAGAGCUGAUCAAGAUCUGCUAGCCGACAGAUGGACUGAAGUCCUUGCGGCCGAAGAGCAUGAGCUCGACCGGCCCUCCAAAAGCUACCCUAAACGCAAGCUGCUCCCCCGAUUAGAGGAGGAGGCAUAUGAACCUGCAUCACCAGCAGACAAUACGGCUGACCGACCACCCCGUGGCCGCGACAGAGAGGCCUCUAGGCCCUCCACCAGAACCGUACCCCGGCAUCGCUCGAAAAGCACAAGGCCACAAGGGAAUGCUCCGGACUUGCGAGAUAUAUUGGAGGAUAAGUCAAGACAAUCAAGAUCGAUCUAUGGAUCGCGUGGGCGCCCCAUGAUACGCGACGACAACCAUCGCGCCGGACACAGUAAGUCCGGCCGGGCCGAACAAAAUAUACAAAGCUCUUUUGAACUCCGUCGUGAUAUCGCCCAGUAUAGAGGCGCCGCACACCCACUAUGCUUCACAGAUGAAGUAAUGGAUCAUCAAAUCCCCGAAGGGUUUAAACCCGUGAACAUUGAAUCUUAUGAUGGCACAACAGACCCCGCGGUUUGGAUCGAGGACUAUCUCCUUCAUAUCCACAUGGCUCGCGGUGAUGAUCUCCAUGCCAUCAAAUACCUCCCACUCAAGCUUAAAGGACCAGCCCGGCAUUGGCUUAACAGCUUGCCAGCAGAGUCAAUUGGGAGUUGGGAAGACCUGGAAGCCGCAUUCCUCAAUAACUUCCAAGGCACGUACGUGCGACCACCAGACGCUGACGACCUAAGCCAUAUAAUUCAGCAGCCAGACGAAUCGGCCAGACAAUUCUGGACAUGGUUCUUAACAAAGAAAAAUCAAAUCGUCGAUUGUCCGGAUGCAGAGGCCCUCGCGGCCUUCAAACAUAACAUCCGCGACGAGUGGCUUGCCCGCCACCUGGGACAGGAAAAGCCGAAAUCCAUGGCAGCCCUCACAUCACUCAUGACCCGCUUCUGCACGGGUGAGGACAGCUGGCUAGCAUGCAACAACAACCUCAGUAAAAAUUCUGGCAGUCCGGAUAUCAAGGACCGCAAUGGCAGGCCGCGUCGCAAUAAAAACAAACGCCGCAUUAACGGCGACAAUAGUGAGGAUACGGCAGUCAAUGCCGGAUUCAGAGGCUCUAAACCCGGUCAACGGAAAAAGACAUUCAAAAGAACUACUCCGGGUCCGUCCAAUUUGGACCGAAUACUCGACCGCUCGUGCCAGAUACACGGCACCCCCGAAAAGCCAGCUAACCACACCAACAGGGACUGUUGGGUAUUCUAGCAGGCAUGCAAGUUAAUUGCCGAAAACAACGACAAGGGGCUGCAUAGCGAUGACGAGGAAGAGACCCGACCACCGAACAAUAGAGGACAGAAGGGUUUCCCCCCACAAGUGCGGACGGUGAACAUGAUAUACGCAACCCACAUACCCAAAAGGGAGCGGAAGCGUGCACUCAGGGAUGUAUACGCGAUGGAGCCAGUUGCCCCAAAGUUCAAUCCAUGGUCCUCCUGCCCAAUCACUUUUGACCGAAGGGACCACCCCACCAGCAUCCGCCAUGGCGGAUUCGCCGCAUUGGUUUUAGACCCAAUCGUUGACGGAUUUCACCUCACCAGAGUCCUGAUGGACGGCGGCAGCAGCCUGAACCUGCUUUAUCAGGAUACAAUGCGCAAAAUGGGCAUAGACUCCUCAAGGAUUAAACCUACAAAGACGACCUUUAAAGGCGUCAUACCAGGUGUAGAGGCCAAUUGUACAGGCUUAGUUACACUGGAAGUGGUAUUCGGAUCCCCGGAUAACUUCCGGAGCGAAGAGUUAAUCUUCGACAUAGUUCCGUUCCGGAGCGGCUAUCAUGCUCUUCUCGGACGCACCGCGUUUGCAAAGUUCAACGCGGUACCGCACUAUGCAUAUCUUAAGCUCAAGAUGCCAGGCCCUCGAGGAGUCAUCACGGUCAACGGAAAUAUUGAACGCUCUCUCCGAAUGGAGGAACAUACAGCGGCUCUCGCGGCAAAAGUACAGUGCAGCCUCUUAAGGCAAUUCUCGAGUUCGGCCGUUAAGCGACCGGACACGGCUAAACGCGCCCGGAGUAACCUACAACAAGACCACCUGGCAUGUUCUGAGCACGCGUAGCAAUGCGGCCCCAACCCCAGCCCCUACAAAAUUCCAAGACGGGUCCUUCGCGUACAUCAUUACGCUCUGAAGAUACCAUGGGCAUAGGGGGAGGGGCACGACCACGAUAGGCCCAGAAUGUGGCUUAACCACACCAGGGGCUCUCAAGUGUGUCGUUCUUUUUUCUUUUCUUCUUUUUUUUUACCCACAGAACCCCGUUCAUCAGAGGCCCUGUCCGGCAGUAGACCUGCCGAACUCACGAUGCAACAGCCAGGGAAGGAGAAAGGCUACGACGAAUAUCCAGGUGGUCUCCAUUACGAGCAUUAAAUCUGUUUUAUACACCAUUCUGCAACCUACCUCUGGAGGGGGACAUGUUUAAUAGUCCCAUCCCUUGCUUAUCGCACCAUUUGUAUCAUUCUGCAUUCACAGCAGUAUUUCUUGAAUAAGCAAUGCACCCCUUUUUUACAAUUGCAUUCCUUUCUUAUACAUAUGUUCAUUUAUGACAUGUUGCAUCCGUAGACUUUGGUACGGCUAAAUACACCAGGGGCUUAUGUUUCCCGCAUCAUGGUGCAAUAAGUCCGAACACUUUCACAAGUGCAGCACCCCAAACUUAUAGCAUUAUAUGCAUCGGCUCCGAAUCAUGUCUUGGGUCAAUAGUUGGGUUUGCCCGGCUCCCAUGUUUUGGUACCUUAUGUUCCGUUGUAUCGGCUAAGGUAGCACUGGGAGAACCACUGCGAUUGUGCCCCAGUUGAGCUGGGCGAGUGCCUCAGUGGAGAAAGCUAAAACUGACCGUCAUGAUGAGGCGAGAGCCGGUCACUGUUCGAGAGGUUUUUUAGAGUCCCUAAAGACUUAUGCUGCUUAGAGCGAGGAACCGGCUCUGUCCGGCCCAGGCGUGGAUAGCGCCCCAAAUUCGGCCUUCCGAACACUAGGGGCUUCACUGAAAUUUAAAAUUAUAUAAUUCUAUGGCUAAGUGAGAGUGUUCAAGCAUUAUAAGUCCGGUUGCCUUGUUCGUUGUGUUGAGCACCUCCCUAGAUGGACCCAAAAAUGGGAACAAGAGUGCUCAAAUUUAUCCCGAACACCCCAGCACUCGUGGCAUGGGGGCUGAAGCCGAAGACUUGCCAUCUCUCAGAUUUGAUAAACGGCCGCACAGAAGGUAAUAUUUUAAAUUAACAAGCAUUGCUUAGCACAUAUGAACAAAGUUUUCAGCGCAUAGGAUAACAAAAUGCGAGUCUAUUCAAAUAUUACAUCUUUGGAGCACUCACCCGCAAUAGUGCGGGCACCCUUCAGAACAGUCUUAUAAUACAUCUCGGGAGUACGAUACUCCUUGCCCAGCGGUGGCGCGUCCGUCACAAGCUUCUCAACAUCCAUCUUGCUCCAGUGCACCUUUGCGCGGGCAAGGGCCCGACGGGCACCUUCAAUACAGGCGGAGUGCUUGAUGACUUCAACCCAUGGACAAGCAUCCACCAGCCGCCGCACCAGAUCGAAGUAGCUCCCAGGCACGGCCUCCUUAGGCCACAGCCGAACUAUGAGGCCCCUCAUGGCCUGUUCGGCCACCUUGUGGAGCUCGACCAGCUGCUUCAGCUGGUCGCUAAGGGGCACUGGAUGUCCGGCCUCAACAUACUGAGACCAGAAGACCUUCUCCGUCAAGCUCCCCUCCUCGGCCCGGUAGAAAGCGGCAGCAUCGGACAUGCUGCGAGGAAGAUCUGCGAACGCUCCUGGAGAGCUCCGAAUUCGGGUAAGUGAUAGGUAAUUCACACUCACAUGCUUACUUUGCAUGAAAAAUGCCUUACCCGCUGCUAUUUUCUUCAAUGCCUCGAUCUCUUGGAGGGCCUUGUAGGCUUCGGCCUUAGCGGCUUUGGCACUCUCAAGAGCCGAUGCAAGCUCGGACUCUCGAGUAUUCAAGUCACGCUCCAGGCUCUCAUGUUUUUCCACGAGAUCCUGGAGCUCUUGUUGUACCUCCGCCACCCGCGCCUCCUGCUUCUCUCGCUCGGUGCACUCCAUGGCCGCAUUAUGUUCGGCUGCGGACACCGCCUCCUUCAGGGUCGCCACCUCGGUCAUGGCACCUGCAAUACCCAUGUUAUCCUUGUCAAUUUUCUUGCAACCAAAUCCUUUUCUGUAAGGUACAAUCUUAAUACGGUGUUAUUCACCUUCCUUGUCCUCGAGCUGCUUCUUGGCACGGCCGAGCUCGUUCUUGGACCGCUCGAGGCUUUGCUUCAAAGUAUUGACCUCCGCAGUCAGUGCGGCAAAGGUCAGCAGCACAACCUGCAACCCCAUAUUGACAUAUUUCAUGACUCCUGCGUAUAUCUUUUUAGAUCCUCAGUCCGGCUUUUCUUUCCGAAUACCGAACCGAGCAUCAGGGGCUACUGUCUAUGCGGUACUAUUCUACAUAUAUCAAAAUUCUUACCUCAAAGCCUGUUAGAAGGCUGCUGCAGGCUUCGGUCAGCCCGCUCUUGGCGAGCUGAACCUUCUGAAUCACCACACUCAUGAAGGUGCGGUAUUCCUCUUCGAUGGAGGCGCCGUUGAGCGCCUCCAGCAAGCUAUCCGGCGCCUCCGGUUGGACGGAGGCCGCUGGCGUCGCGGUCUUGCCCUUCUUACGAAGGGGCCGCCCGCCGGACUCCGGAGCCACUUCAGGUUCCGGUGCGGAGUCCGGCACAAAGUCUGGGAGGUUGCCCUGCGGCACCUCCGGGGCAUCCUCCUCCUGGCGGGUCCCUUCCCAGGAUCCCACCUCGGCAUUGCCCGCAUCACGAGGGGUGGAGGCGGUCGGAAGGGAAUCCAUAUCCGAUGCACCCAAGGACCCGCUCGACGAAGCGGGAAAAUCAUCCUUGGGCGGACUGCAGGGUUGUAUGCGGCAUUAGAAAGACACUAUGUGGCGAAAAGAAAAACCAUGAAGUUAUUCGGGAGUCCGGAUACUUACGAUAUCGCCAGGGGCUUGGCCCUUGGAGGCCAAUCCUCAUCGUCAUCACUGGCGUUGGCAGAGCAGUCCGGGGGAAGAGUCUUUCCCUUCUUGGACCCUUCAGCCUCCCCCGUUGGGGAAGCCUUCCUUUUCUUCCCUCCCUCCGCUGGGGGAGAGGCCUUCUUCUUUUCCUCCUCGCCUUUGUGGGAGGAGUCUGCCUCGGAGUCAUCGUCCGAUGACACCUGAAAACGGGAACUCUUCCGAGUGCCCGUGGCCUUCUUCUUGGCCUUCUUCUCCGGCACCACAUGGGGUGCCGGAGCUAGCAGCCCCGUUAAGCGGGCGUCCGCUGGGUCCUCUGGCAAUGGGGCCGGACAGAUAGUUUGUUCAGCCUUCUCCAGCCAGUCCUGUCAAAGGAGAGGGAGUUUAGAUCCCGCAUAGAGUCAAACUAUGGGAAACAAGUGUCCCGUAAAGGGCAAAAUCGCUUACCUCGCUAGCCGGACGCUGCGAGCUGAAUCCGCGAUCUUCGGUAGCGGAUGCGGGGGCCUCGGCACCUUUAAACAACACCCUCCAGACUUCUUCGUACGUAGUGUUGAAGAGCCCGCUCAAAGUCUGGUGCUGCGCCGAAUCGAACUCCCACAUACUGAAGCCCCGUCAUUGGCACGGGAGAAUCCGGCGGAUGAGCAUGACCUGGACUACGUUGACAAGCUUGAGCUUCCUUUUCACUAGCUUUUUGAUGCAGGCUUGGAGUCCGGUCAGCUCCUACGAAUCACCCCAUGUCCGACCGCUCUCUUUCCAGGAGGUGAGCUGUAUGGGGAUGCCAGAUCUGAAUUCGGGGGCUGCUGCCCAUUCAGGGUCACGCGGCUCGGUGAUGUAGAACCACCCCGAUUGCCACCCCUUAAUGGUUUCCACGAAAGUGCCCUCAAGCCAAGUAACGUUGGGCAUCUUGCCCACCAUGGCGCCUUCGCACUCCGCUUGGCUGUCCUUUACCACCUUCGGCUUGAUACUGAAGGUCUUGAGCCACAAGCCGAAGUGGGGCUGGAUGCAGAGGAAGGCCUCACACACGACGAUAAACACCGAGAUAUUGAGGAUAAAAUUCGGGGCCAGAUCAUGGAAAUCCAGGCCGUAGUAGAACAUGAGCCCCCGGACAAAGGGAUGGAGUGGGAAGCCCAGUCCGUGGAGGAAAUGGGGAAGAAAUACUACCCUCUCGUGGGGCCUGGGGGUGGGGAUGAGCUCUCCCUCGUCGGGGAGCCGGUGCGCGAUGUCGCUGGACAGAUAUCCGGCGCUGCGCAGCUUCUGGAUGUGUCCCUCCGUAACGGAGGAGGCCAUCCACUUGCCUCCCGCUCCAGACAUAGUUGGAGAAGGUUGAGGUGAGAUGUGCGGACUUGGGCGCUGGAUCUCGAGUUCGCGGAGAUUGAUAAUCCAAGGAGGAAGAAGGUGCAGGUAAAAGGGUUGGAUCUUUAUCCCCUUAUAUGGGCGGACGGAAACAUGCGUCCCCACCGGCCUGAUAAAACUUGCUUAUCUCCUAAGCGCCACAAUCAAUGGCGCGGUUGGGUUACCCACGUCCGUAUUGAUGGGAAUCCCGGAAUAAGGGGAACACGAUCUCUGCUUCGACAAGACAUGCCAAGGAAACCGCUUCGCUAAACACGCUGAGGUGGUACAAUAAAAACGAUUCGAGUAAAGGCUUGGUAGUGGUGUGACGUCACGCCACCAAAUACGUCAGCAGAUUGAACUUGUGUAAAUAUUACUCUCUCUACGGUGGUAUGUGGAAUUUAUUUUGCAGAGCCGGACACUAUCCUGGUGUUCACAAUCUUCUAUAAAUUAUUCGGAGAAGGAACCCGCCUUGCAAUGUCGAAGACAACAUGCGCGCCGGACUCAUCGUCAUUGAAGCCUGGUUUAGGGGCUACUGAGGGAGUCCUGGACUAGGGGGUGUCCGGAUAGCCGAACUAUCAUCAUCGGCCGGACUCCAAGACUAUGAAGAUACAAGAUUGAAGACUUCGUCCCGUGUCCGGAUAGGACUUUCCUUGGCGUGGAAGGCAAGCUUGGCGAUGCGGAUAUGUAGAUCUCCUACCAUUGUAACCGACUCUGUGUAACCCUAGCCCUCUCCGGUGUCUAUAUAAACCGGAUGGCUUUAGUCCGUAGGACGAACAACAAUCAUACCAUAGGCUAGCUUCUAGGGUUUAGCCUCCUUGAUCUCGUGGUAGAUCUACUCUUGUAAUACCCACAUCAUCAAUAUCAAUCAAGCAGGACGUAGGGUUUUACCUCCAUCAAGAGGGCCCGAACCUGGGUAAAACAUCGUGUCCCUUGUCCUGUUACCAUCCGCCUAGACGCACAGUUCGGGACCCCCUACCCGAGAUCCGCCGGUUUUGACACCGACAAUGUCCUCGAAUGAGUAAAAUAUGCACCAACAUGCUCACACAAUAAGAUGACAAAUGAAAUAUGUGGCAAAGCAUGCACAACCAAUUCUAGCAUCUAUCAAACAAUUGGCGAUGACUAGGUCAUCUAUAUAUGAGUAUAUUGACUUAGGAGUCAAAUGAUAAACAUUUGAUCAUAGGUCAUACUCAUCGUUUAAGCUCAAGUGGGGUUACCACUUUUACAUAAUGCAUUGAUGUGUUCACACCAUUAGAGUUGCUUUGACUCAAUUCUUAGAUUUAAGCUCCCCCUAGAUGUGAGAUCCCCUUUUAGAGGGAUGAACUAACCUCGGGUUUUGUCGAUGAUGACUUCAUGUAGGUGUUGAAGAUGUGGAUGCUCAAUGUUGAUGUAGAUCAUUUGGAGCAAUCCUUUGGAGUGAGUUGCACUUUCAACUUACCCACAUGGGUUAGUCCCACAAGGAACAAACGAGAAUAUCCAUAGACAUAGAGUGAUGCACACACACGGGAUGAUGUCCAUGAAAUCAUUAGGUUACCUUGUCCCUU